CGCGCACCUGGCCUCCGUGGGCCCUCCUGCCCUGGCGCCGGACUUCCGUGUCCCUUCACCUAGCCCGGGCGCCUCCUGCCAACACCCUGAGUCAAGCUGGGGGUGGGGCUCUGGGUGCGUCUACACUGGGCCCGCACCCGGCCAGGAGUAAAUGCAUUUACUGGGUCACGGCGUGACCUGGCUAGACAGACAGGGCCGCGCCCAGCGGAGUGAGAGAAGGCGUUGCCUCCUUUAAUUUCUCAAUCUUCCGUUCUCUCUACACGCGUUGGUUAAAAUCUAUAAAAAUGCAGAUCCUUCACCCCACCCACAUGUUCCGAUUCAGAAGCUGCGGGGAGAGGCUCAGAAUUUGUGCUUGGGCCGCACCCCAGGCUUGGAGAUUACCUUCAUUGUGGGUCAUUUAUUAUGACAAAUACUUUCAAAGAAAAUACAUGAAAAGUUCCUCUGGAUGCUGUGUGACCAAUGGCAAGUGACCACUCUGAACCUCAGUCUCCUUAUCUGCAAAAGUGAGUUGGCGAGGCUUCCCUCCUGGAUUUUCUCAGCCUGUCAAAGAGCAGAGGAAAAGAGCCAGUGGGAGAGCCAGGGUUCAGAGAGACCAUGGCGGGAUGAGUAGGAGAGCCCGGUGUCCGCAUCACCUGAGUCUCGGUGUCCUUGUCUGUAACAUGGGGACAGUGCUGCUGCCUACCUCACUGGGCUGUUGGGAGAACAAGUGUGCAGCUUUACACACUGCAAAAUGGGGGCAUCUUGGAGUCUCAGACUCAAGGGUCCACCUGGGUCCCUUGGGGGCUUGUUAAAUGUCUUUGCCUUCCGGCAGUACUAUUCACAAGAGCCAAAGGUGGAAGUGACCCACAUGUCCAUCACUGGAGGAAUGGAUAAACAAAAUGUGGUCUGUACGUGCCGUGGAAUAUUAUUCGGCCAUGAACAAGAAUGCGGCCGAUUCAUGCUACAGCGUGGCUGAACCUUGAAAACCUUAUGCUAUGUGAGAGGAACCAGACACAAAAACCAUAUCUGAUUGCGUUUACAUGAACCGUCUGGAAUAGAUAAACCAUCCAUGGAGACACAUGCUAGUGUAGUGCUUGCCAAGAGCUGGGGGAGCAGGGAGCGGGGAGGGCCUGUUAAUGGGUGCGGGGUUGCGUGUGGGGUGAUGAAAAUGUUCUAGAAUUAGAUAGUGGUGCUGGUUGCACAACUCUGUAAAUAUACUAAGAAACCACUGAAUUAUACUCUUUCAAAGGGUAAACUUUAUAAUAUGUGUAUCAUUCCUCAAUAAAGCUGUUAUUGAAAAUGCCCCCGCCUAAGCUCCAGGCUCCGACUUUGUGACUCAUGGAAACCGCACACUCAACACACUCCUCCGGAAGUUGUAUUAACUGGGAAAAGUGGGAAGGGAAGCGAUUUGCCCCAAUCCAGUCCAGCUCUGAGCCACUCCCGGGAUCCGGAGAGGACUUCUGAAGGCCCAGCCUCACGCUGGGCUCUCGAAGUGGGGGAAGGAGAUGUCAAAGCCAGAUAAUGAGCUCCAUGGUCAGGAAUGAAGGGCUGGCGAUCAAAUACAUGGGUGGGGGUGGGGAGGGACAAAUCUCCAUGCAGAAGAAUUCCACGUGUUGUGGACAGAGAGAUGCUCCCCACUCUUGAAGUGUAGGCCCCAUGCCACUUCCUUCCAC
ensembl:lncRNA